GUGGGGAAUAUUGCGCAAUGGGGGGAACCCUGACGCAGCAACGCCGCGUGAAGGAUGAAGGUUUUCGGAUUGUAAACUUCUUUGACGAGGGACGAAAAAUGACGGUACCUCGAAAACAAGCCACGGCUAACUACGUGCCAGCAGCCGCGGUAAUACGUAGGUGGCGAGCGUUGUCCGGAAUUACUGGGCGUAAAGGGCGCGUAGGCGGGAAUUUAAGUAAGGUGUGAAAACUCCGGGCUCAACCUGGAGACUGCACUUUAAACUGGAUUGCUUGAGGGAAGGAGAGGAAAGUGGAAUUCCUAGUGUAGCGGUGAAAUGCGUAGAUAUUAGGAGGAACACCAGUGGCGAAGGCGACUUUCUGGACUGUACCUGACGCUGAGGCGCGAAAGCGUGGGGAGCGAACAGGAUUAGAAACCCUGGUAGUCC
rnacentral:rRNA from 1 species